GGUGGCGACCGGCGCACGGGUGCGUAACGCGUAUGUAACCUACCUAUAACAGGGGCAUAACACUGAGAAAUUGGUACUAAUUCCCCAUAAUAUUCGGAGAGGCAUCUCUCCGGGUUGAAAACUCCGGUGGUUAUAGAUGGACAUGCGUUGUAUUAGCUAGUUGGUGAGGUAACGGCUCACCAAGGCAACGAUACAUAGGGGGACUGAGAGGUUAACCCCCCACACUGGAACUGAGACACGGUCCAAACUCCUACGGGAGGCAGCAUG
rnacentral:rRNA from 1 species